GAACACUUCCAUUUAUUUAACUAAUACUUAUUGUGAAGUUUUCCGUACGUUAGGGGAGGGGGAGAACAUGAAGUAAAAGAUUAAAUCACUGCAUCAUGGUUGCUUUUUCACUGAUAAGAGCCAUGUUGGCAAAGCUGCAAAGAACCUACGGAGUUGCUUGUGCUUAACAUUACUCCAUUGAGUGGUGAUUGAGUACUCAGACAGUUGGCAGGGUUAUGAGAACAUGUUAAUUUUGGUUACAUAAAAAUGAUAUGCCAAGAUCAGUCCCAAGAAACACUCAACAUGUUAUUUUUAUCUUUUACAACACAUCAAGACCAAUAAAAUCACAGUGUCAUACUGCUAUUUAAGGAGCAAACAACAGGUAGAGGUAACAAUUGAGGUACAAAUAAAUGGGAUGUAACACGUAAGAGCAGAAGACAAGUUGCAACGAAGUCAAAUUCAAUAAACAUGACAGUUGAAGCGACUAGGAGCAUCAGAGUGAAUAGUAGAAGGGAUGAAGAAGGAAGCAUAGAAAGAUAGAAGAGUAGAGAAAACUGAGCAAAUUCAGAAGAUGAUGAUGACCAGUCUUAUGAUAAAAUUAUGACUCCUUCCAUCCCAAUUAGUUGUCAUUUUUUGCCUCUUGAGAGUCAAAUUAUAUAAAUUUUGAUCAAUAUUCUAAAAUAUAUCUUUUCAUCUUGACAUGAAAAAAGUUCCAACUUGUAGUACUUUCUUAUAGUGUUUUAACCUAAAUUUUAAUUGUAAAAGGUUUAAUUGAUAUAAUUCAAAUUAGUUUGAAAGAUUGAUCAAAUUAACUCUCGAGAAGCGAAAUAUAACAAUUUGGGAUGGCGAGAGUAUUACAGUCAAAUUGACUCUCCCCCAAAGUUCCUUUCUUCAUUUAUGUGCUAUAUUAAAGAACUUCAAAGACACACUCUUUAAAUUCUCUUAAUUACAGCUCCCUCCUUUCUCUUUUUUUUUUUUUUUUUGAAAACGUAAUGGAAAGGGGAUAUAUAUUAUAAAUUGUGGUCUUUGGAACAGUAAUGUGACAUCUCUUGUGCCACAAAACGCGCUUAUCAGUUUUUUUUUUUUUUAAAACCUUUUCCCCUUAUUUUCCCUCUUCACUUAGUUUUUUUUACAAAUGAAAUAAAUGCAUCAUUAAUGUCUAAUAAUAUUAUACAUUAAAAUGCUUAUAAUUCUCAUCUAUUCGUCUCCCUAACUUCUACUCUUAAUUUACAUCCAUAACUCCUCUGUGUUUCAUUUUCGUAACUCCUAAAAAUAUUUAAUGUAUCAAAGAUUGUAGUAAACAAAUGAAAUAAAGACAUAGCAUGGAAGCUCA